AAUUUUGGACAAUGGGGGAAACCCUGAUCCAGCCAUCCCGCGCGUAUGAUGAAGGCCUUCGGGUUGUAAAGUACUUUUGGCAGAGAAGAAAAGGUAACCCCUACUACGUGUUACUGCUGACGGUAUCUGCAGAUUAAGCACAGGCUAACUACGUUCCAGCAGCCGCGGUAAUGCGUAGGUGGCGAGCGUUGUCCGGAAUUACUGGGCGUAAAGCGUGUAGGCGGUUCGGAAAGAAAGAUGUGAAAUCCCAGGGCUCAACCUUGGAACUGCAUUUUUAACUGCCGAGCUAGAGUAUGUCAGAGGGGGGUAGAAUUCCACGUGUAGCAGUGAAAUGCGUAGAUAUGUGGAGGAAUACCGAUGGCGAAGGCAGCCCCCUGGGAUAAUACUGACGCUCAGACACGAAAGCAUGGGGAGCAAACAGG
rnacentral:rRNA from 1 species